UGGGCGUCGAGCGGCGGACGGGUGAGUAAUGCCUAGGAAAUUGCCUUGAUGUGGGGGAUAACCAUUGGAAACGAUGGCUAAUACCGCAUGAUGCCUACGGGCCAAAGAGGGGGACCUUCGGGCCUCUCGCGUCAAGAUAUGCCUAGGUGGGAUUAGCUAGUUGGUGAGGUAAUGGCUCACCAAGGCGACGAUCCCUAGCUGGUCUGAGAGGAUGAUCAGCCACACUGGAACUGAGACACGGUCCAGACUCCUACGGGAGGCAGCAGUGGGGAAUAUUGCACAAUGGGCGAAAGCCUGAUGCAGCCAUGCCGCGUGUAUGAAGAAGGCCUUCGGGUUGUAAAGUACUUUCAGUUGUGAGGAAGGGUGUGUAGUUAAUAGCUGCGCAUCUUGACGUUAGCAACAGAAGAAGCACCGGCUAACUCCGUGCCAGCAGCCGCGGUAAUACGGAGGGUGCGAGCGUUAAUCGGAAUUACUGGGCGUAAAGCGCAUGCAGGUGGUUCAUUAAGUCAGAUGUGAAAGCCCGGGGCUCAACCUCGGAACUGCAUUUGAAACUGGUGAACUAGAGU
rnacentral:rRNA from 1 species